GUCUUUUCGUAUUUAUGUAAAGUCUGACCUGCCCACUGAGAUUUUAAAGGCCGCAGUACUCUAACUGUGCAAAGGUAGCAUAAUAAUUAGUCUUUUAAUUGAAGGCUGGAAUGAACGGUUGGACGAAAUAUUAACUGUUUCAUAGGAAUUUAAAAAAGAACUUUAUUUUUUAGUCAAAAAGCUAAAAUUUUUUUAAAAGACGAGAAGACCCUAUAAAGCUUUAUACAGUGAAGUUUAAAUAUAAAAAAGAUUAAUAAAAUUUUUAAAUUUUAUUGUAAUUUAUUGGGGUGAUAUUAAAAUUUAAUAAACUUUUAAUUAUUUUUUACACUAAUUUGUGAAUAAUUGAUCCGUAUAUUACGAUUAUAAAAUUAAGUUACUUUAGGGAUAACAGCGUAAUUUUUUUGGAGAGUUCAUAUCGAUAAGAAAGAUUGCGACCUCGAUGUUGGAUUAAGGAAUAAAUUUAGGCGCAGCUGUUUAAAUGUUAAGUCUGUUCGACUUUUAAACCCUU
rnacentral:rRNA from 1 species